UACCAGCUCUCCGAGUGGUAGGGAUGAUUAUUGGGCUUAAAGCGUCCGUAGCCGGCUUAGCAAGUUUCCUGUUAAAUUCAGCGACCUAAUCGUUGAGCCGCGGGAAAUACUACUAGGCUAGGAGGCGGGAGAGGUCGACGGUACUUCUGGGGUAGGGGUGAAAUCCUAUAAUCCCGGGAGGACCACCAGUGGCGAAGGCUGUCGACUAGAACGCGCUCGACGGUGAGGGACGAAAGCUGGGGGAGCGAACCGGAUUAGAUACCCGGGUAGUCCCAGCUGUAAACGAUGCGGGCUAGGUGUUGGGGUGGCUAUGUGCCACUUCAGUGCCGCAGGGAAGCCAUUAAGCCCGCCGCCUGGGGAGUACGGCCGCAAGGCUGAAACUUAAAGGAAUUGGCGGGGGAGCACCACAAGGCGUGAAGCUUGCGGUUC
rnacentral:rRNA from 1 species